UUAGCCUGUGUGUCUGAUGGGACCCUUAAACUACUACGUAUUUCUAAUUUUGAUUAUGCCAGGCUAUGUAUUCAUUGUGUGCGAUCAGAUAGCUUGAGCUUUUACAUGUAAUAUAAAAACACACAUUUACAGAACUAAUACUUAAUUGUAAGAUGAACAAAAUAAAAUUAAUGCCACAACAUAUGACUGUGCUGAAAGACAGCUUUGUACUUUCACAAGAUUAAUUAAGUGCAAAUUUUCUCUUGCAGAAGAUGAAGACGCUGAUUUUUUACCUUCUCUUGCUGAUUUCUUCUCAUCACAUCGGUGCAGAAGCUGUGUACUGUAUAAAGGAAUUGCAGUGCAAUGUCACUAAGUGCUUUAAAAUGAGGGACUCAGAAAACGUCUGCAGCUCCAUCCAGCAAACAGAACACUGCAGUAUCAGUGGAACCCGCAUCAAGCUGAAAUGUGAGGCACAAUUACAAUGCCUCUGCAAUGAAGAAGGUCCGUUUGAACUGGAUGGCAUUUCCAUGGAAAAUGAGGUCCAGCCUGAGGAAACCAAGCACUAUGAAGGU